rnacentral:rRNA from 1 species
UAAGGAAUAUUGGUCAAUGGACGGAAGUCUGAACCAGCCAUGCCGCGUGGAGGAUGAAGGCCCUCUGGGUUGUAAACUUCUUUUAUCUGGGACGAAACACUUCUUUUCUAAGGAGCUUGACGGUACCAGGUGAAUAAGCACCGGCUAACUCCGUGCCAGCAGCCGCGGUAAUACGGAGGGUGCAAGCGUUAUCCGGAUUCACUGGGUUUAAAGGGUGCGUAGGCGGACAUGUAAGUCCGUGGUGAAAUCUCCGAGCUUAACUCGGAAACUGCCAUGGAUACUAUAUGUCUUGAAUGUUGUGGAGGUUAGCGGAAUAUGUCAUGUAGCGGUGAAAUGCAUAGAUAUGACAUAGAACACCAAUUGCGAAGGCAGCUGGCUACACAAAUAUUGACGCUGAGGCACGAAAGCGUGGGGAUCAAACA